AAGUCGUAACAAGGUCUCCGUUGGUGAACCAGCGGAGGGAUCAUUAUCGAGUUUUACAACUCCCAACCCUCUGUGAACAUACCUCUGUUGCUUCGGCGGGAUAUGCCCUCGGGAAGACCCCCUCAAAGGUCCCCUGUAGGUGCCCGCCGGAGGUCACCAAACUCUCGUUUUGAACUGUGGCAUUAUUCUGAGUCGCGCAAGCAAAAUAAAAAUAAAAUUAAAACUUUCAACAACGGAUCUCUUGGUUCUG
rnacentral:misc_RNA from 1 species